rnacentral:ncRNA from 21 species
CCACCACGACAGGGGAGCGCCCGACGUCGGCGGGGCCGGGGCCCGGUCCCACUCCGACGACCACGGUGCUGAGAGUGCGGGCGACCGCAGACCCUCGAACCUGAUCCGGCCAGCACCGGCGAAGGAAGUCGAGUCGAAUCUCCC